rnacentral:rRNA from 1 species
AUUGAACGCUGGCGGCAUGCUUUACACAUGCAAGUCGAACGGUAACAGGCCGCAAGGUGCUGACGAGUGGCGAACGGGUGAGUAAUGCAUCGGAACGUGCCCAGUCGUGGGGGAUAACGCAGCGAAAGCUGUGCUAAUACCGCAUACGAUCUAUGGAUGAAAGCGGGGGACCGUAAGGCCUCGUGCGAUUGGAGCGGCCGAUGUCAGAUGAGGUAGUUGGUGGGGUAAAGGCUCACCAAGCCAACGAUCUGUAGCUGGUCUGAGAGGACGACCAGCCACACUGGGACUGAGACACGGCCCAGAUGCCUACGGGAGGCAGCAGUGGGGAAUUUUGGACAAUGGGCGCAAGCCUGAUCCAGCAAUGCCGCGUGCAGGAAGAAGGCCUUCGGGUUGUAAGCUGCUUUUGUACGGAACGAAAAGGUUUGGGUUAAUACCCUGGGCCGAUGACGGUACCGUAAGAAUAAGCACCGGCUAACUACGUGCCAGCCGCCGCAGUAA